GACGAACGCUGGCGGCGUGCUUAACACAUGCAAGUCGAACGGUGAAGCGCCUUCCUUUUUGGUGGGUGUGGAUGAGUGGCGAACGGGUGAGUAACACGUGAGUAACCUGCCCCCUUCUUCUGGAUAACCGCAUGAAAGUGUGGCUAAUACGGGAUAUUCUGGGUCUGUCGCAUGAUGGGUCUGGGAAAGAUAUUGUUUCGGUGGGGGAUGGGCUCGCGGCCUAUCAGCUUGUUGGUGGGGUGAUGGCCUACCAAGGCGGUGACGGGUAGCCGGCCUGAGAGGGUGGACGGUCACACUGGGACUGAGACACGGCCCAGACUCCUACGGGAGGCAGCAGUGGGGAAUAUUGCACAAUGGGCGCAAGCCUGAUGCAGCGACGCCGCGUGAGGGAUGGAGGCCUUCGGGUUGUGAACCUCUUUCGCCAGUGAAGCAGGCCUGCCUCGUUUGUGGGUGGGUUGACGGUAGCCGGAUAAGAAGCGCCGGCUAACUACGUG
rnacentral:rRNA from 1 species